UACGAGGGGGGCAAGCGUUGUUCGGAUUUACUGGGCGUAAAGGGCGCGUAGGCGGCGCAACAAGUCACUUGUGAAAUCUCCGGGCUUAACCCGGAGCGGUCAAGUGAUACUGUCGUGCUAGAGUGCGGAAGGGGGCUACUGGAAUUCUCGGUGUAGCGGUGAAAUGCGUAGAUAUCGAGAGGAACACCUGCGGCGAAGGCGGGUAGCUGGGCCGACACUGACGCUGAUGCGCGAAAGCCAGGGGAGCGAACGGG
rnacentral:rRNA from 1 species